UUAAGCGACUAAGCGUACACGGUGGAUGCCCUGGCAGUCAGAGGCGAUGAAGGACGUGCUAAUCUGCGAAAAGCGACGGCGAGGUGAUAUGAACCUUUGACCCGUCGAUGUCCGAAUGGGGAAACCCAGUGUGUUCCGACACACUAUCGUUAACUGAAUACAUAGGUUAACGAGGCGAACCGGGGGAACUGAAACAUCUAAGUACCCCGAGGAAAAGAAAUCAACCGAGAUUCCCCCAGUAGCGGCGAGCGAACGGGGAGCAGCCCGGAGUCUGAAUCAGCUUGUGUGUUAGUGGAACGGUCUGGAAAGUCCGACGGUACAGGGUGAUAGUCCCGUACACGAAAAUGCACAUGCUGUGAACUCGAAGAGUAGGGCGGGACACGUGGUAUCCUGUCUGAAUAUGGGGGGACCAUCCUCCAAGGCUAAAUACUCCUGACUGACCGAUAGUGAACCAGUACCGUGAGGGAAAGGCGAAAAGAACCCCGGCGAGGGGAGUGAAAAAGAACCUGAAACCGUGUACGUACAAGCAGUGGGAGCCUCUUUAUGGGGUGACUGCGUACCUUUUGUAUAAUGGGUCAGCGACUUAUAUUCUGUAGCAAGGUUAACCGUAUAGGGGAGCCGAAGGGAAACCGAGUCUUAACUGGGCGUUAAGUUGCAGGGUAUAGACCCGAAACCCGGUGAUCUAGCCAUGGGCAGGUUGAAGGUUGGGUAACACUAACUGGAGGACCGAACCGACUAAUGUUGAAAAAUUAGCGGAUGACCUGUGGCUGGGGGUGAAAGGCCAAUCAAACCGGGAGAUAGCUGGUUCUCCCCGAAAGCUAUUUAGGUAGCGCCUCGUGAACUCAUCUUCGGGGUAGAGCACUGUUUCGGCUAGGGGGCCAUCCCGGCUUACCAACCCGAUGCAAACUACGAAUACCGAAGAAUGUUAUCACGGGAGACACACGGCGGGUGCUAACGUCCGUCGUGAAGAGGGAAACAACCCAGACCGCCAGCUAAGGUCCCAAAGUCAUGGUUAAGUGGGAAACGAUGUGGGAAGGCACAGACAGCCAGGAUGUUGGCUUAGAAGCAGCCAUCAUUUAAAGAAAGCGUAAUAGCUCACUGGUCGAGUCGGCCUGCGCGGAAGAUGUAACGGGGCUAAACCAUGCACCGAAGCUGCGGCAGCGACACUAUGUGUUGUUGGGUAGGGGAGCGUUCUGUAAGCCGUUGAAGGUGUGCUGUGAGGCAUGCUGGAGGUAUCAGAAGUGCGAAUGCUGACAUAAGUAACGAUAAAGCGGGUGAAAAGCCCGCUCGCCGGAAGACCAAGGGUUCCUGUCCAACGUUAAUCGGGGCAGGGUGAGUCGACCCCUAAGGCGAGGCCGAAAGGCGUAGUCGAUGGGAAACAGGUUAAUAUUCCUGUACUUGGUGUUACUGCGAAGGGGGGACGGAGAAGGCUAUGUCAGCCGGGCGACGGUUGUCCCGGUUUAAGCAUGUAGGCGGAGGUUCCAGGUAAAUCCGGUACCUUUUAACGCUGAGGUGUGAUGACGAGGCACUACGGUGCUGAAGUGAUAAAUGCCCUGCUUCCAGGAAAAGCCUCUAAGCAUCAGGUAACACGAAAUCGUACCCCAAACCGACACAGGUGGUCAGGUAGAGAAUACCAAGGCGCUUGAGAGAACUCGGGUGAAGGAACUAGGCAAAAUGGUGCCGUAACUUCGGGAGAAGGCACGCUGAUAUGUAGGUGAAGCCCCUGCGGGCGGAGCUGAAAUCAGUCGAAGAUACCAGCUGGCUGCAACUGUUUAUUAAAAACACAGCACUGUGCAAACACGAAAGUGGACGUAUACGGUGUGACGCCUGCCCGGUGCCGGAAGGUUAAUUGAUGGGGUUAGCGGCAACGCGAAGCUCUUGAUCGAAGCCCCGGUAAACGGCGGCCGUAACUAUAACGGUCCUAAGGUAGCGAAAUUCCUUGUCGGGUAAGUUCCGACCUGCACGAAUGGCGUAAUGAUGGCCAGGCUGUCUCCACCCGAGACUCAGUGAAAUUGAACUCGCUGUGAAGAUGCAGUGUACCCGCGGCAAGACGGAAAGACCCCGUGAACCUUUACUAUAGCUUGACACUGAACACUGGUCCUUGAUGUGUAGGAUAGGUGGGAGGCUUUGAAGCGUGGACGCCAGUCUGCGUGGAGCCGCCCUUGAAAUACCACCCUUUAAUGGCUGGUGUUCUAACGUAGACCCGUGAUCCGGGUUGCGGACAGUGUCUGGUGGGUAGUUUGACUGGGGCGGUCUCCUCCCAAAGAGUAACGGAGGAGCACGAAGGUUGGCUAAUCCUGGUCGGACAUCAGGAGGUUAGUGCAAUGGCAUAAGCCAGCUUGACUGCGAGCGUGACGGCGCGAGCAGGUGCGAAAGCAGGUCAUAGUGAUCCGGUGGUUCUGAAUGGAAGGGCCAUCGCUCAACGGAUAAAAGGUACUCCGGGGAUAACAGGCUGAUACCGCCCAAGAGUUCAUAUCGACGGCGGUGUUUGGCACCUCGAUGUCGGCUCAUCACAUCCUGGGGCUGAAGUAGGUCCCAAGGGUAUGGCUGUUCGCCAUUUAAAGUGGUACGCGAGCUGGGUUUAGAACGUCGUGAGACAGUUCGGUCCCUAUCUGCCGUGGGCGCUGGAGAAUUGAGGGGGGCUGCUCCUAGUACGAGAGGACCGGAGUGGACGCAUCACUGGUGUUCGGGUUGUCAUGCCAAUGGCACUGCCCGGUAGCUAAAUGCGGAAGAGAUAAGUGCUGAAAGCAUCUAAGCACGAAACUUGCCCCGAGAUGAGUUCUCCCUGAGACUUUAAGUCUCCUGAAGGAACGUUGAAGACGACGACGUUGAUAGGUCGGGUGUGUAAGCGCAGCGAUGCGUUGAGCUAACCGAUACUAAUGAACCGUGAGGCUUAACCUU
rnacentral:rRNA from 1 species